UUUAGGAUUUGGUUUUGAUUUAGGGUUUGAUUUAGAGUUAGGAUUUGAUUAGGAUUUGAUUAGGAUUUGGUUUAGAGUUUGGUUUAGGGUUUGAUUUAGGAUUUAGGGUUUGGUUUAGAAUUUGGUAAGGAUUUUAUUUAGGAUUUAGGGUUUGGUUUAGGGUUUGGUUUAGGAUUUAGGAUUUUAUUAAGAUUUAAGAUUUAAUUAAUUUUGGCCUAAAGUUUGAAUCAAGUCCAAUAGGAUUUAACUAGAAUUAAAUUAAGAUUGAAUUGAGAUGUAUUUGAGAGAUAUUUGUGAUCAUUCUAAUAUUUCUUUAAGAUUUCUUAAUGUUUCUUUGAAAUUUUUUUGAGGUUUUUUUGAAUUUGAUUAAAGCUUGCUUAAUAUUAUUAUAGUCUAAUUAGAAUUUAAUUAGUAUUCUAUUAUAUUUAGGAUUUUUUUGUUACAAUUUCCAUUCUACCUUCCACAG
rnacentral:lncRNA from 1 species